rnacentral:rRNA from 1 species
GUGACAGCCGCCGCGGUAAUACGGAGGAUCCGAGCGUUAUCCGGAUUUAUUGGGUUUAAAGGGAGCGAAGAUGGGUUGUUAAGUCAGUUGUGAAAGUUUGCGGCUCAACCGUAAAAUUGCAAUUGAUACUGGCGUCCUUGAGUACAGUUGAGGUGGGCGGAAUUCGUGGUGUAGCGGUGAAAUGCUUAGAUAUCACGCAGAACUCCGAUUGCGAAGGCAGCAUACCGGCGCUCCACUGACGCUCAUGCGCGAAAGCGUGGGUAUCGAACAGGAUUAGAUACCCUGGUAGUCCACGCAGUAAACGAUGAAUACUAACUGUCCGGGCAGAAUGAUGUCUGGGUGGUACAGCGAAAGCGUUAAGUAUUCCAACUGGGGAGUACGCCGGCAACGGUGAAACUUAAAGAAAUUGGCGG